rnacentral:rRNA from 1 species
AUUGAACGCUGGCGGCAGGCUUAACACAUGCAAGUCGAACGAGUGGCGGACGGGUGAGUCAUGUUUGGGAAUCUAGCUUAUGGAAGGGGAUAACUACGGGAAACUGUAGCUAAUACCGCGUACCAUAGGAUGUUCCCAAGUGGGAUUAGGUAGUUGGUGGGGUAAAGGCUCACCAAGCCGACGAUCUCUCGCUGGUCUGCGAGGAUGACCAGCCACACUGGGAAUGAGACACGGCCCAGACGCCUAAGUGAGGCAGCAGUGGGGAAUAUUGCGCAAGGGGGGGAACCUGACGGAGCCAUGCCGCGUGAAUGAAGAAGGCCGUCGGGUUGUAAAGGUCUUUCGGUAGCGAGGCGUUACCUACAGAAGAAGCACCGGCUAACUCCGUGCCAGCAGCCGCGGUAAUAC